ACGAACGCUGGCGGCGUGCUUAACACAUGCAAGUCGAACGGAAAGGCCCUGCUUUUGUGGGGUGCUCGAGUGGCGAACGGGUGAGUAACACGUGAGUAACCUGCCCUUGACUUUGGGAUAACUUCAGGAAACUGGGGCUAAUACCGGAUAGGAGCUCCUGCUGCAUGGUGGGGGUUGGAAAGUUUCGGCGGUUGGGGAUGGACUCGCGGCUUAUCAGCUUGUUGGUGGGGUAGUGGCUUACCAAGGCUUUGACGGGUAGCCGGCCUGAGAGGGUGACCGGCGACAUUGGGACUGAGAUACGGCACAGACUCCGACGGGAGGCAGCAGUGGGGAAUAUUGCACAAUGGGCGGAAGCCUGAUGCAGCAACGCCGCGUGCGGGAUGACGGCCUUCGGGUUGUAAAACGCUUUCGCCUGUGACGAAGCGUGAGUGACGGUAAUGGGUAAAGAAGCACCGGCUAACUACGUG
rnacentral:rRNA from 1 species